GACUAACGCUGGCGGCGUGCUUAACACAUGCAAGUUGAACGGUUCAAUUCAAGCAGUAAUGUGAGGAUUGGAAAGUAGCGGACGGGUGAGUAACGCGUGAGUAACCUACCUUUGUGAGGGGGACAACAGCUGGAAACGGCUGCUAAUACCGCAUGAGGCCACAGCUCCGAGUGGAGCAGGGGCAAAAGAAAUUCGCACAAAGAUGGACUCGCGUCCCAUUAGCUAGUUGGUGAGGUAACGGCCCACCAAGGCUUCGAUGGGUAGCCGACCUGAGAGGGUGAUCGGCCACACUGGAACUGAGAUACGGUCCAGACUCCUACGGGAGGCUG
rnacentral:rRNA from 1 species